UUAACACAUGCAAGUCGAACGGAAAGGCCCUGCUUUUGUGGGGUGCUCGAGUGGCGAACGGGUGAGUAACACGUGAGUAACCUGCCCUUGACUUUGGGAUAACUUCAGGAAACUGGGGCUAAUACCGGAUAGGAGCUCCUGCUGCAUGGUGGGGGUUGGAAAGUUUCGGCGGUUGGGGAUGGACUCGCGGCUUAUCAGCUUGUUGGUGGGGUAGUGGCUUACCAAGGCUUUGACGGGUAGCCGGCCUGAGAGGGUGACCGGCCACAUUGGGACUGAGAUACGGCCCAGACUCCUACGGGAGGCAGCAGUGGGGAAUAUUGCACAAUGGGCGGAAGCCUGAUGCAGCAACGCCGCGUGCGGGAUGACGGCCUUCGGGUUGUAAACCGCUUUCGCCUGUGACGAAGCGUGAGUGACGGUAAUGGGUAAAGAAGCACCGGCUAACUACGUGCCAGCAGCCGCGGUGAUACGUAGGGUGCGAGCGUUGUCCGGAUUUAUUGGGCGUAAAGGGCUCGUAGGUGGUUGAUCGCGUCGGAGGUGUAAUCUUGGGGCUUAACCCUGAGCGUGCUUUCGAUACGGGUUGACUUGAGGAAGGUAGGGGAGAAUGGAAUUCCUGGUGGAGCGGUGGAAUGCGCAGAUAUCACGAGGAACACCAGUGGCGAAGGCGGUUCUCUGGGCCUUUCCUGACGCUGAGGAGCGAAAGCGUGGGGAGCGAACAGGCUUAGAUACCCUGGUAGUCCACGCUGUAAACGGUGGGUACUAGGUGUGGGGUCCAUUCCACGGGUUCCGUGCCGUAGCUAACGCUUUAAGUACCCCGCCUGGGGAGUACGGCCGCAAGGCUAAAACUCAAAGGAAUUGACGGGGCCCCGCACAAGCGGCGGAGCAUGCGGAUUAAUUCGAUGCAACGCGUAGAACCUUACCUGGGUUUGACAUGGAUCGGGAGUGCUCAGAGAUGGGUGUGCCUCUUUUGGGGUCGGUUCACAGGUGGUGCAUGGCUGUCGUCAGCUCGUGUCGUAAGAUGUUGGGUUAAGUCCCGCAACGAGCGCAACCCUUGUUCACUGUUGCCAGCACGUUAUGGUGGGGACUCAGUGGAGACCGCCGGGGUCAACUCGGAGGAAGGUGGGGAUGACGUCAAGUCAUCAUGCCCCUUAUGUCCAGGGCUUCACGCAUGCUACAAUGGCUGGUACAGAGAGUGGCGAGCCUGUGAGGGUGAGCGAAUCUCGGAAAGCCGGUCUCAGUUCGGAUUGGGGUCUGCAACUCGACCUCAUGAAGUCGGAGUCGCUAGUAAUCGCAGAUCAGCAACGCUGCGGUGAAUACGUUCCCGGGGCUUGUACACACCGCCCGUCAAGUCAUGAAAGUUGGUAACACCCGAAGCCGGUGGCCUAACCGUUGUGGGGGAGCCGUCGAAGGUGGGACUGGUGAUUAGGACUAAG
rnacentral:rRNA from 1 species